rnacentral:rRNA from 1 species
GACGAACGCUGGCGGCGUGCUUAACACAUGCAAGUCGAACGGUGAAGCGCCUUCCUUUUUGGUGGGUGUGGAUGAGUGGCGAACGGGUGAGUAACACGUGAGUAACCUGCCCCCUUCUUCUGGAUAACCGCAUGAAAGUGUGGCUAAUACGGGAUAUUCUGGGUCUGUCGCAUGAUGGGUCUGGGAAAGAUAUUGUUUCGGUGGGGGAUGGGCUCGCGGCCUAUCAGCUUGUUGGUGGGGUGAUGGCCUACCAAGGCGGUGACGGGUAGCCGGCCUGAGAGGGUGGACGGCCACACUGGGGCUGAGACACGGCCAAGACUCCGACGGGAGGCAGCAGUGGGGAAUAUUGCACAAUGGGCGCAAGCCUGAUGCAGCGACGCCGCGUGAGGGAUGGAGGCCUUCGGGUUGUGAACCUCUUUCGCCAGUGAAGCAGGCCUGCCUCGUUUGUGGGUGGGUUGACGGUAGCUGGAGAAGAAGCGCCGGCUAACUACGUG